rnacentral:rRNA from 1 species
UGGGGAAUCUUGCACAAUGGGGGCAACCCUGAUGCAGCGACGCCGCGUGAGCGAUGAAGCCCUUCGGGGCGUAAAGCUCUUUCGACCGGAACGAUAAUGACGGUACCGGGAGAAGAAGCUGCGGCUAACUACGUGCCAGCAGCCGCGGUAAUACGUAGGCAGCAAGCGUUGUUCGGAGUUACUGGGCGUAAAGAGUGCGUAGGCGGUUUUCUAAGUUCGGUGUGAAAUCUCCCGGCUUAACUGGGAGGGUGCGCCGAAGACUGGGAAGCUGGAGUGGGGGAAAGUCAGGCGGAAUUCCUGGUGUAGCGGUGAAAUGCGUAGAUAUCAGGAGGAACACCGGCGGUGUAGACGGCUUGCUAGACCAUAACUGACGCUGAGGCACGAAAGCGUGGGUAGCAAACA